ensembl:lncRNA
CACCGAUCAGCCGCUACAGCGUCGCGUAGUUGAUGACGUCAUCCGCAUGCGGCCCAGCACACUAUCUUUCGCGCCGAAAGAUAACGGCUGGGCGUAAAAAUUGCGAUAUCAGCGUUGGAGAUCCGCUAUGUCCUACUUGAAUGGACUGAGGGUGAGGAUAGAGGGGCCCAUAGUAUUUUGGCUCUCGACUGUGUCCGGAAUUUUUAAGUAAAAAAAUUUCUUGAAAGGACUGAAAAAAACGAGAAGCUGGUGGAAUGGCGAAAAGGCCGCCAACCCUGGCCGGUGCACCGAGCAAGAAUUAUUGACGUGGCAAAAUUUGAAAAAACUCUCCAAAUUAAACUGCGUGGGAUCGAGAUGGAGAAAGAAGUCACACAGCAAACAAAACGUCCUCACAUCCCAAACUCAAAGUACCGUGAUCAGGGGCAGACUGAGAAGGCUUCAAAGAAAAGGGUUGACAAUAAAAAGAGAUGUCCUUCUAAAUACAACCACGAGGAGGAGGAGGAGAAGGAGGAGGAGGAGGAUGAGGCGCGUCAUGACAGGCCUUCAAAGAACAAGCGGGCCAGCGAAGAGGAGGAGCGUAUUGGGGAUGAAGAGGACAUAGUACCACCCUCUAAGAAAAAGACAGCUGCUGAAUUUAGAAAACACCUGGAUGAACAGAUGUGGGAGAGGAGGAAACUUGACCAAAUGCAAAGAAAUUUGCAGGAGUUGAGAAAUGAAGUCCAUUCUCUUAAAAAUGAAAAUGCACGUCUGAAAGACAUUAUCAUCAAUCAAAUCCCUCAAAUGAAAAGUGACAUCGCCAUUAUUGCUCAAAAGAAGACUGGAAGGACUCCUGUGGAGGAUCUAGAUUCCUCCUUCUCGACUUUUGGAGAAAUGCAACCGGUGAGUAACCCCCUUGCAUUUUUAUUUAUUUAUUUAUUUAUUUUACUUGUUACUCAAACAGAGCUAUGGAUUUUCAUUAUGUUUGGCUGAUUACUUUUGCAUGUAACUUUAAUUUAUUGGCAUGUUUAAUGUUUU